UUUUCUCAUGCCAUUUUUCUCUCAUCCACUGUCUCCUUCCAUUUUAUCAUUUUGACCACCAAAUCGCCUCCUUGCACUCACCGGCGACUUUGCCAUGCAACUGGUAGCCCACGUCGUGAACCAUGAUUUCCAAAUCUUAUGAAGUUGUAUCCAAUUUCAAAAAAAUAAACUUGGAGCUCCAUAUAUAGCUAUUUCAAAUAUUCUUGGGAUUUCAGCCCCUACAACUUAGGAGGAAAUUGACCCCAACUGAGCUUUCUCUAGGAAGAUGAAGGUCAAGGGUACCAAUCAAGAAUCACAAAAAAAAAACUCCAAGUGUCUCAAGCUGUUAUGUCUUCAAGAACCAACUGCUAGAAUACUGCCAGAAAACAGGACUAACUACGCCAGUUUAUGAGACUAUCAAGGAAGGCCCUUCUCACGAGCCAGUUUAUAAAUAAUUGUUGUCGUAAACAAUGCCAGAUAUGAUUCUCUAAAUGGCCUUUUCAAUCGGAAGGCAGCAGAGCAUUCGGCUGCUGGAGUUUCCCUCUUGGCACUCGCCAAAUACAAAAAUACUUGUAGUGGGACCUCCCAACCUAUGCACGAGACAGGCUUUUGCAAGAACUUGCUCCGAGAUUAUACUCUAAAGGUGAACAAUGUUGUUUCUAUGUAUACGAGCUGUUGGGAACAGAACGAAGGAAACUGUCCAUGUUUUCAUACGUCGUUGCAAUUGGGAGUACCGAGUAUAUUGGAGCUUCAGCAUGCACAAAGAAAGAAGCCGAGAUUAAUGCUGCUAGGACGACCUUGCUAGCCAUUGAGACACUAGUGCCCGUCACCGAAGAUCACACGGGCAACAUUCAGGAGACAAAAGAGAAAGGCCUUAUGGUUCGUUCAGAUGUAACACCUCUGUCCCUUGGUAUUAGAGUUAAUGGAGGUGAAAAUCAUAAAAUUUAAACCCCCAUUGUCUCUUUGAAGAAGUAAAAAUCGCCAGAUAGAGAUCGACAACUCUCUAGCUCGAUCGAGCUAUUAUCUACAUGUUCUACAGCUCGGUCGAGCUAAUAUCUACAUGUUCUCCAGCUCGAUCGAGCAACAUCCCAAAAUGUUCUUUUGACCUUUAGAUUAUAACAUUGUUAUUGUAACAACCCAAAAUUUUAUAAGGGGAUUUUACAAGAUCAAAUAAAAGCACGUUGCUACUAAUGUUGUGACAUUUCAAAGUGCCACCUAAGAUUUUAAGGUAUAUGAUGACGAGUCUAAGAAAAUUUAGACAAGACAUCCUAUAAAUGUUGUUUUUUUUUUAUGUUUAGCAAUUAUUUCCAAUGACUAUCAAAGAAUAAAUUGGAAGAAAAGUUGUAGUGCCCGUUUCACAAACGUCCAACAUUACAAAACAAAUUGGAUCAUUGAGAUCUCGUAAAGAUAUUAAAAAGAUAUGCGUCAUUAAUACAAAAUCUUAAAAAGAUAUGCGUCAUUAAUACAACAUCUUAAAAAGAUAUGUGUCAUUAAUACAAUAUCUUAAAAAGAUAUGCGUAAUUAAUAAGCUUAGCCACUUGCCAUUUUUUUUAUGCAUAUGUACACGCCACUUGCCAUCUUAUAUUUAUAUGUAUAUGUACUUUUAUGCAAAUCUCUCUCUCUACUCCCUAAAUAUCUCCCACCCUUCCCUCUAUAUUAUUUCUUUUCCAAAAACCGUUCUCUCUAUCUCUGCAAUGAAGAAGACAAGGUUUUUCCUCUCAACCUUAAUUCAAGAAACCGAGAACCCAACUCGACAAGGGGAAACUACCGUUCAUUCGCUCAGAAUUUGCUCAAAAUCCGUUCAAGGUAUAUGAUCCCUUGUUUCCUCAAUUUUAGUCACAUUCGUUGCAUAUCAUGUAACCAACGCAAUGUACGGCAACGGUAACUAAAUCAAACUAGUAACUCGGGCAACUCAAUUAAAAGAAACGAACUUUAACUUCACCAAAACAAGUAAGAACUUAUCUGCAAGUUUAAAAUCAAGAAUUUCGGGUUGGUUUCGGGGCUGUCGGUGUCGUUUCAGAGCUGUUCGGGGCGAGUUCGGACAACUGCGCGAACCGGCGGAGAAGCCGACAGCGAUGGCGACGGUUCUGUGGAUUGACGGCAGCGGUGGCUGGACGCUGCUGACAGCGACGGCUGGCCGCGAGCAGCAGCUCCUCCGGCGGCGCACAGCAGUAACUUUCCUCCCCCGUGGCAGCAGCAGCGCAGCGCGACAGCAGCCCCACCCCCCCGGCGACUCCAACAGCAGCGGCUCCUUCCCGGGGCAGCAGCACCGGCGACUCCAGCAGCAACGGAGGCGGCCGGCGACUCAGACGGAAGAAGAAGAGAGGGCGACAGAUUUCAAAAAAAAAGGGGAGAGAAGAAUGGGGAAGAAGAUGAAAUCGGUAGUGAGAGAGAGGGAGAAAGAGAUGGAGAUAAGAUGGUGUUAAGAAUGAGGCUUUUGUCUUUUGUUGUUGUUAGGCUUUUGUUUGGGCCUCACAAAUUCUUUUGAAAAUGGAGGUUUUAUUUAAGUUUGGGGCCUUUUAUUUUAAUUGGGGCUUUUAAAUUAAA